GAUGAACGCUGGCGGCGUGCCUAAUACAUGCAAGUCGAGCGAAGCGGGGACGGGUGAGUAACGCGUGGAAACCCUCCUAUAAGACUGGGAUACCUUCGGGAAACCGGAGCUAAACCGGAUACUUAUAGAUGGUUCUGAGCUGCAUUAGCUAGUUGGUAAGGAAACGGGUUACCAAGGCAACGAUGCAUAGCCGACCUGAGAGGGUGAUCGUCAACACGGGAAGUGCGACAGGGCCCAGACUCUUACGGGGGGCAGAGGGAGGGAAUCUGCCGCAAGGGGGGAAAGCCUGACGGAGCAACGCCGCGUGAGUGAUGAGGGUCUUGGGAUCGUAAAACUCUUUUAUUAGGGAAGGGGUACCUAAGCAGAAGGCCACGGCUAACUACGUGCCAGCAGCCGGGGAAAUA
rnacentral:rRNA from 1 species